UCACAGGAGCAAGGAUGCCUGAGCACAAGUGGCUGAGUUCCGAGUGACUUUAUGAAGCACUUUCCUACCUCCCUCCGUCAUGAAAACGGGGAUUCUGCACCUGCAUCAGGGACAGUCUGGCAAAAGCCUCUGCUAUGCCUCCGGGGACAAGGAACUAGCACAAAUAACCAUUUUGAAAUUGGAUCUUGGCAAAAUUAGCAACAAAUCCAUAAAGGAAACUGAAAGCAAUUGGAUCUCCAUCUUCAGUGGAGUCCCACAAAAGUUGGAGAAAUACGUUGUCUCUAAAGAGGAUACAGCUGUACCCUAAAAUUAGGACAUAAUUAAGACACUUAUAGACACUAUAAAGUCAGCAGGAUUCGGGGUUGAGGUUGCUUCAGUGAACAUUCAACGCUGUCGGUGAGUUUGGAAUUAAAAUCAAAACCAUCGACCGUUGAUUGUACCCUAUGGCUAACCAUCAUCUACUACAGCAUGGCCGUCAGCGUCUGCUGAAGACAGGAAACCAAAGCAGGACAGACCAGGAUGUUCUCUUCCCUGCGCAGAGAUUAUUUUUUAAAAGGUCACAAUCAACAUUCAUUGCUGUCGGUGGGUUGAACUGUGUGGACAAGCUCACUGAACAAUGAAUGCAACUGUGGCCCCGCUUUUUGCCAGCACAAUCAAGGGAUCUUCCAUCUUUGAAAGACGUAUUGAACGUAGUAAUGUUUUUCUUUAACUUUUCUAAUCUGCAGCACCUUCAGGCUUAUGUAUUCAGUUUUUACCAUCUGGUCAGAUUUAAAUGAAAAAGGCACUGGUUUAAAUGAGAAUGAUGCUUCGCUACAUCUCUGAAUGGUACAAACAGCACUUUUUAAAUAAAGGUAACCCAUUUUAUUCGUGGAAUCUAGAUGAUAACCAUACAAGUUAGCACACCUUCCUACUGUCGAGGUGUGGGUGGAAAAGAAGACAGGAGGAAGCACAUCAGCACCCAUGGCAUCUGCCACCCAUGCCCUUAAAAAUAUCAUUCUAUCUUUUAUUAGAUGUCCUGGUCAGAUGAGGACAGAAACGCCAGGUAAUUUUAUAUUUCUGCUGCUCUGGAUGGGGACUGACUCAAACAAUCCUUUCUCUUGUUAUGGAUUUGUCAAGGAGGGGGAAAAUGCAUGACUAACUAUGUAACUAUCAGAAUACUUGUGCUUGUCAUAUGGUAGAUUUCUGUGUCUAAUUAAAUCUAACUUUAAGAUAAACCUUUAACCACUUGUCUGUGUUUUGCCUUCCAAAUUGCUUACCUGUAUUAUUAGACUUACAACUGGGGACUAUGAAUUGCUUCAUAUUACUCAUCUGACGU